AGUGAACGCUGGCGGUAGGCCUAACACAUGCAAGUCGAACGGCAGCACAGUAAGAGCUUGCUCUUACGGGUGGCGAGUGGCGGACGGGUGAGGAAUACAUCGGAAUCUACUUUUUCGUGGGGGAUAACGUAGGGAAACUUACGCUAAUACCGCAUACGACCUACGGGUGAAAGCAGGGGAUCUUCGGACCUUGCGCGAUUGAAUGAGCCGAUGUCGGAUUAGCUAGUUGGCGGGGUAAAGGCCCACCAAGGCGACGAUCCGUAGCUGGUCUGAGAGGAUGAUCAGCCACACUGGAAGUGAGACGCGGUCCAGACUCCUACGAGAGGCAGCAGUGGGGAAUAUUGGACAAAGGGCGCAAGCCUGAUCCAGCCAUACCGCGUGGGUGAAGAAAGCCUUCGGGUUGUAAAGCCCUUUUGUUGGGAAAGAAAAGCAGCAGGUUAAUACCCCGCUGUUCUGACGGUACCCAAAGAAUAAGCACCGGCUAACUUCGUG
rnacentral:rRNA from 1 species